CCAGAUCAAGGAGAGAGAGAGAGAGAGUGAAAGAACCAGCUCUAGCCCACCACCGUUCACCUUUUCGGUCGCCGGCGCCGAUUCCGGCCAAAAUUUUUACACCAUCCUCUUCCUCUCCUCAUGGGCUUUCUAUCCAUAUAAGUUUCAUAACUUAAUUUCACUUGUGUGCAACGAAUCGAAGGACAGAAGGUUUGAUAAUCCUCGGCUAAUUUUCUGAUUUUCGGCCAAACCGUCGACUUUUUGGAGAAACCCCAAGGUAAUCCGGUUGAGCAAGCUUCCGAGGACAUUCCCGAGAUGGGACUCACCUAGUCACCCUUCAUUGUACAUUGGAGUAAAUGAUGGUGAAAUGAGCAUUAGGUCCACACUUACCUAUAAAUGGUGGAGAAAAAUGGAAAUGUACUAAAAUGUCAAUUUUACACAUUUUCCUACUCCGGCUAGGAGAAACCAAGCCAAGCAAGGAAGAAGGAGCGGCCGCCGGACCAAAUGAACUUCAAAUGAGCUGAAACUUUCCAGAUCCAUUCUACACAUCCUAAGGAUCAUUUCUUAUGAAGAGUGCCAGAGCUAUAAUUGAGUGGAAGGCCUUCAAACAGUCAGCCCAAUUUCCUGCAGAAGCAAAACUGGAAAACUGGACCUGUAAGAGGUCCAGCAGCAUUUCCAGCCCAAAGGCAUGGAAAUAAAUUCUGAAAUUUUACCAAAAUGAUCUACACUCAUGGUAGAUCAUUUCAUAUGAAGAAGUCACGAGCCAAAACUGAAUUCCUGUUGGAGAAAUAAUUGAAGGAAUAAAAGGGCAGAAACUGACCUAAAACAGCUCAACACCACAUGUUCAAGUUUCCUACCCACAUGAAGAAAGCUAGAUGCUUUUCUCUUUUUCCUUGGAUAUAUUUUUCUGCUCCAAUAGAUCAUCAUCACUUCCAUACUUCUGCACCUUCAUGCCUUGCUUUCAUUUCAUCAUUACUCCAUCUUUUCCAUAUUUUACAAACCACUUUCAUUAUUUUUCUUCCAUUUAUCAUUUCACUCUUCUUUUUCUUCCCUAUAUAAACACCUUCUCCUCUCACUCUAAGUAGAUUCCUUCAUCCAUUUCAUCUUCUUUGUCUCUCCAUUUCCAUUCCAUUUUUCUCUCCAUUCUCUAGUUGCAAAAUUCUGUGUUUUCAAGUAAGAAGAAGAAGAAGAAGAAGGAGCCGAGAAUAUCAUAUCCUCCAUCGUCCACCUUGAAGGCUUGCUUCCAAGAUUCAAGAUUUCAACGUUUCAAGCACUCCAUCUCUAUCUCCAACUCACGGUGUAAUUCAUUCUUUUUCCUUAUUUAAUUUCGUAGGAAUUUGUUUCUAGUUAACAAUAACAUUAAGGGCAAAGUUUAAGCCCAAUUUCUAUGUUUGAAUAAAAAUUGUGAUUUCUUUA